rnacentral:rRNA from 1 species
AUUGAACGCUGGCGGCAUGCCUUACACAUGCAAGUCGAACGGUAACAGGUCUUCGGAUGCUGACGAGUGGCGAACGGGUGAGUAAUACAUCGGAACGUGCCUAGUAGUGGGGGAUAACUGCUCGAAAGAGUGGCUAAUACCGCAUGAGAUCUACGGAUGAAAGCAGGGGAUCGCAAGACCUUGUGCUACUAGAGCGGCCGAUGGCAGAUUAGGUAGUUGGUGGGAUAAAAGCUUACCAAGCCGACGAUCUGGAGCUGGUCUGAGAGGACGAUCAGCCACACUGGGACUGAGACACGGCCCAGACUCCUACGGGAGGCAGCAGUGGGGAAUUUUGGACAAUGGGCGCAAGCCUGAUCCAGCAAUGCCGCGUGCAGGAUGAAGGCCUUCGGGUUGUAAACUGCUUUUGUACGGAACGAAAAGCCCUGGGUUAAUACCCUGGGGUCAUGACGGUACCGUAAGAAUAAGCACCGGCUAACUACGUGCCAGCCGCCGCAGUAAUAC